UAUGUAAUGUGCCAGCCGCCGCGGUAAUACGUAUGGUGCAAGCGUUAUCCGGAUUUACUGGGUGUAAAGGGAGCGUAGACGGCUGUGUAAGUCUGAAGUGAAAGCCCGGGGCUCAACCCCGGGACUGCUUUGGAAACUAUGCAGCUAGAGUGUCGGAGAGGUAAGUGGAAUUCCCAGUGUAGCGGUGAAAUGCGUAGAUAUUGGGAGGAACACCAGUGGCGAAGGCGGCUUACUGGACGAUGACUGACGUUGAGGCUCGAAAGCGUGGGGAGCAAACAGG
rnacentral:rRNA from 1 species